UACGGAGGGUGCAAGCGUUAUCCGGAUUCGACUGGGUUUAAAGGGUGCGUAGGUGGGUUGGUAAGUCAGUGGUGAAAUCCGUGGAGCUCAACCUCCAGAACUGCCUUUGAUACUGGCGAUCUUGAGUCCGGGAGAGGUGAGUGGAACUGCGAGUGUAGAGGUGAAAUUCGUAGAUACUUGCAAGAACACCAGUGGCGAACGGCGGCUCACUGGCCCGGUACUGACGACUGAGGUGCGAAAGCGUGGGAGCAAACACGG
rnacentral:rRNA from 1 species